rnacentral:rRNA from 1 species
GACGUAGGGCGCGAGCGUUGUCCGGAUUUAUUGGGCGUAAAGAGCUCGUAGGCGACUUGUCGCGUCGACUGUGAAAACCCGUGGCUCAACCAUGUGGUCUGCAGUCGAUACGGGCAGGCUAGAAUUCGGUAGGGGAGACUGGAAUUCCUGGUGUAGCGGUGAAAUGCGCAGAUAUCAGGAGGAACACCGGUGGCGAAGGCGGGUCUCUGGGCCGAUAUUGACGCUGAGGAGCGAAAGCGUGGGGAGCGAACAGG